rnacentral:rRNA from 1 species
CGAAAAACCUUACCUACCCUUGACAUGUACAGUAAAAUUUACAGAGAUGAAUUUGUGCCCGAAAAGGGAAUCUGAACACAGGUGCUGCAUGGCUGUCGUCAGCUCGUGUCGUGAGAUGUUGGGUUAAGUCCCGCAACGAGCGCAACCCUUGUCAUUAAUUGCCAUCAUUUAGUUGGGCACUUUAAUGAGACUGCCGGUGAUAAACCGGAGGAAGGUGGGGAUGACGUCAAGUCCUCAUGGCCCUUAUGGGUAGGGCUUCACACGUAAUACAAUGGCGCGUACAGAGGGUUGCCAACCCGCGAGGGGGAGCUAAUCUCAGAAAGCGCGUCGUAGUCCGGAUCGGAGUCUGCAACUCGACUCCGUGAAGUUGGAAUCGCUAGUAAUCGCGGAUCAGCAUGUCGCGGUGAAUACGUUCCCGGGUCUUGUACACACC